GAUGAAGAACGCAGCGAAAUGCGAUAAGUAAUGUGAAUUGCAGAAUUCAGUGAAUCAUCGAAUCUUUGAACGCACAUUGCGCCCGUCAGUAUUCUGGCGGGCAUGCCUGUUCGAGCGUCAUUACGCCCCUCAAGUCCCCUGUGGACUUGGUGUUGGGGAUCGGCGAGGCUGGUUUUCCAGUACAGCCGUCCCUUAAAUUAAUUGGCGGUCUCGCCGUGGCCCUCCUCUGCGCAGUAGUAAAACACUCGCAACAGGAGCCCGGCGCGGUCCACUGCCGUAAAACCCCCCAACUUUUUAUAGUUGACCUCGAAUCAGGUAGGACUACCCGCUGAACUUAAGCAUAUCAAUAAGCGGAGGA
rnacentral:misc_RNA from 1 species